rnacentral:tRNA from 1 species
GCCGCCGUAGCUCAGUGGCAGAGCGCGCCCUUGGUAAGGGCGAGGCCGAGUGUUCAACUCACUCCGGCGGCACCA